GACGAACGCUGGCGGCGUGCUUAACACAUGCAAGUCGAACGCUGAAGCUUGGUGCUUGCACUGGGUGGUUGAGUGGCGCACGGGUGAGUAAUACGUGAGUAACCUGCCCUUGACUCUGGGAUAAGCCUGGGAAACUGGGUCUAAUACUGGAUACGACAUGCCACUGCAUGGUGGUGUGUGGGAAGGGUUGUUGUGGUUAUGGAUGGGCUCAUGGCCUAUCAGCUUGGUGGUGGGGUAAUGGCCCACCAAGGCGAGGACGGGUAGCCGGCCUGAGAGGCGGACCGGUGAGAGUGGAACAGAGACACGGUCCAAACUGCGAGGGGAGGCAGCAGUUGGGAAUAAUGCGGAAUGGAGCGAAAUCUGAUGCAGCGACGCGGGGGGAGCGAGGAAGGGAUUCGUAACGUAAAGCUCUGUUGUAAGGGAAGAAAAGGACGGUACCAGAGGAGAAAGCCCCGGCUAAAUACGUG
rnacentral:rRNA from 1 species